rnacentral:sRNA from 1 species
GUUGAAUCAAAACAAAGUAACCCCCAUGGCAAAAGCUGUCAAUAAAAGUAUACCGUGCAAAUUUCAGUUGAGAACCGGGAUAGAAACGGCAGUGGCGGCAAUAAAAACACGCGAAACGUUGGCAGAACGCGAAA